UCCGUAGUAAUCGCGUGUCAACAUCACGCGGUGAAUAUGCCCCUGCUCCUUGCACACACCGCCCGUCAAGCCACCCGAGUUGGGCCGGAGUGAUGGUGCCGUUCUUGCGGCGCUAGAACUUCGAUCCAGCAAGGAGGGCUAAGUCGUAA
rnacentral:rRNA from 1 species